GACAGAGUGCCCAAGCGUUAGGCGGAAUCACUGGGCUUAAAGCGUGUGUAGGCGGACUUCUAAGUACCUUGUGAAAGUCCCACGGCUCAACCUGUGGAACUGCUUGGUAUACUGGUUGUCUUGGGCCAUCUAGGGGCUAGCGGAACAAACGGGUGGAAGCGGUGAAAUGCGUAGAUAUCGUUUGGAACGCCAAUGGUGAAAACAGCUAGCUGGGGAUGUGCCGACGCUGAGACACGGAAAGCCAGGGGAGCAAACGGG
rnacentral:rRNA from 1 species